rnacentral:rRNA from 1 species
UACGAAGGGGCUAGCGUUGUUCGGAGUUACUGGGCGUAAAGGGCGCGUAGGCGGCGCACCAAGUCAGGCGUGAAAGCCCUGGGCUCAACCUGGGAACUGCACUCGAACUGCGUUUCUUGAGUAUCGGAGAGGAAAGCGGAAUUCCUGGUGUAGAGGUGAAAAUUCGUAGAUAUCAGGAGGAACACCAGUGGCGAAGGCGGCUUUCUGGACGGUAACUGACGCUGAGGCGACGAAAGCGUGGGGAGCAAACAGG